CCUACGGGGGGCUGCAGUGGGGAAUAUUGGGCAAUGGGCGCAAGCCUGACCCAGCAACGCCGCGUGAAGGAAGAAGGCUUUCGGGUUGUAAACUUCUUUUCUGAGGGACGAAGAAAGCAACGGUACCUCAGGAAUAAGCCACUGCCAACUACGUGCCAGCAGCCGCGGUAAUACGUAGGUGGCAAGCGUUAUCCGGAUUUAUUGGGUGUAAAGGGGGUGUAGGCGGGAAAGCAAGUCAGAUGUGAAAGCCCAGGGCUCAACCCUGAGCCUGCAUUUGAAACUGUUUUUCUUGAGUGCUGGAGAGGCAAUCGGAAUUCCGUGUGUAGCGGUGAAAUGCGUAGAUAUACGGAGGAACACCAGUGGCGAAGGCGGAUUGCUGGACAGUAACUGACGCUGAGGCGCGAAAGCGUGGGGAGCAAACAGGAUUAGAUACCCUAGUAGUC
rnacentral:rRNA from 1 species